GUCAAAGCUUAAUUGUACCACAGCCUAAUACCACAACAUGAAAACUCCUCACUCUGUACUAAGCAAUACUAUACUUCUAUAGAAAAUUUUAUGUUAAAACUAGUAACAAGAAGACAGACCUUCUCUCAAAUGUAAACGUAAAUCAAUAAGGACAAACCAUUGAUAUUUAACGCUCACGAACCAAAAGUAAUAACCAAUCAAGAAAACCCUACUUUAAAUAACGUUAACCUAACACAAGAACAUUUCAAGAAAGAUUAAAAGAAAAAGAAGGAACUCGGCAAACUUUAACCUCGCCUGUUUACCAAAAACAUCGCCUCUUGAAAAUAAUAAGAGGUCCAGCCUGCCCAGUGACUCAGUUCAACGGCCGCGGUAUCCUAACCGUGCGAAGGUAGCGUAAUCACUUGUUCUUUAAAUAAGGACUAGUAUGAACGGNACCACGAAGGUUAUGCUGUCUCCUUUUUCCAAUCAGUGAAACUAAUCUCCCCGUGAAGAAGCGGGGAUAAAACUAUAAGACGAGAAGACCCUAUGGAGCUUUAAACAACACAACAACAAUUUAAUAAUUUCAUAAUGCAUUAUGAUUGUUAGUUUUAGGUUGGGGUGACCGCGGAGCAAAACACAACCUCCACAUUGAAAGAAUUCUAAGCCAAGAGUCACAACUCAAAGCAUCUACAUACUGACAUUAAUUGACCCAAUAAACUUGAACAACGAACCAAGUUACCCUAGGGAUAACAGCGCAAUCUACUUCAAGAGCCCCUAUCGACAAGUAGGUUUACGACCUCGAUGUUGGAUCAGGGUCUCCAAGUGGUGCAGCCGCUACUAAAGGUUCGUUUGUUCAACGAUUAAUAC
rnacentral:rRNA from 1 species